GAUGAACGCUGGCGGCGUGCCUAAUACAUGCAAGUCGAGCGAACAGACGAGGAGCUUGCUCCUCUGACGUUAGCGGCGGACGGGUGAGUAACACGUGGAUAACCUACCUAUAAGACUGGGAUAACUUCGGGAAACCGGAGCUAAUACCGGAUAAUAUAUUGAACCGCAUGGUUCAAUAGUGAAAGACGGUUUUGCUGUCACUUAUAGAUGGAUCCGCGCCGCAUUAGCUAGUUGGUAAGGUAACGGCUUACCAAGGCAACGAUGCGUAGCCGACCUGAGAGGGGGAUCGGCCACACUGGAACUGAGACACGGUCCAGACUCCUACGGGAGGCAGCAGUAGGGAAUCUUCCGCAAUGGGCGAAAGCCUGACGGAGCAACGCAGCGUGAGUGAUGAAGGUCUUCGGAUCGUAAAACUCUGUUAUUAGGGAAGAACAAAUGUGUAAGUAACUAUGCACGUCUUGACGGUACCUAAUCAGAAAGCCACGGCUAACUACGUG
rnacentral:rRNA from 1 species